CAAAAUAUAGGAAACAAAUGACACAAUCUUUUGGGAGAUGAGAGCCAGAUCUACGGAUGAAAAAUAUUAAGAAUUACUAUGAGGGAAACAAAUCAUAUGACUAAACAUUCAAUGAACUCAAAGGAAUAAUUUUUUUAAUACCGUGUGUGGAUACCUAUGCGAAGAAAAGUGCUCCAACUAUGACCCCGUAUUUCUAUACAUGCACGAUAAGGGCAUCUCUAGCCGAUCCUUUAAAAAAAUUUAGAGGAGCAAAAUGAACAGCUAACAGCUAACGCCACUUCUCGGGAUAAUUUUGACGAGUUGGGUAGCGGUGCCACCUCUACCUGCCACCGCUACCCAACCUUGCCAUCGUCGGCACCACUACCCUUGAUUCCGUACGGAACGGAACCGGAAGGCAACUCCGCUACCCAGCUAGCCACUGCUACCGGCUCGACGUCGUCGGAAUCGAUCUCUGCGUCGCCGCCUAUGCCAAGGAAAAGGUUGGGGAUGAAAAGCUUGCUCCGGACCGCCGUGCCGUCAAAGGCCGGCAACAAGGCCCCAGCGGCUGCGAUGAUGCCCAGUUGCCCUCAUGGUGCUCCGACCAGCGACAAGUGGGCGAGGAAGCCGACAGAGGCGAUGGAUGCGCUCACCGAGGCAGCAAUGAAGAAGAAGAUUGAUGAUGGUUUGCAGCUGUGGGGUUUGAGAUUGUUAUUGUUGAUUGUAGUGUGAAGGAGGGGGGUUGGG
rnacentral:rRNA from 1 species